AACAUCCCCGCGGGAGAGUCCGGAGCCAGCCCUGCUGGCCACCGGCGCCGAAGGCGCAACCGCCCCGGAAACGCUCAGGCAAACGGACCGCGUGGGAACU
rnacentral:ncRNA from 2 species